UGGUCACAUACCAAGGCUUUCAGGAUUCAUUGUUCUUGACUUGCUGUGGACUUGACCAGAAAACAAAAACCAUCCCAGCAGGCUUCUGUAGCAGCCUGCUUAGAAGACUUGCUGGGAACAUGA
ensembl:snoRNA